CGUAGGUAAUCUACCUUCGGAUGGGGAAUAACAAUCGGAAACGGUUGCUAAUACCGCAUAAUGCAGCGGCACCUAAUGGUGACAGUUGUUAAAGCGGGGGAUCGAAAGACCUCGCGUCUGAAGAGGAGCCUGCGGCGGAUUAGCUUGUUGGUAGGGUAACGGCCUACCAAGGCGACGAUCCGUAGCCGGCCUGAGAGGGCGGUCGGCCACACUGACACUGACAUACGGGUCAG
rnacentral:rRNA from 1 species